rnacentral:rRNA from 1 species
CAGUAGCCGCGGUAAUACCGAGGGUGCGAGCGUUAAUCGGAUUUACUGGGCGUAAAGCGUGCGUAGGCGGCUUCUUAAGUCGGAUGUGAAAUCCCUGAGCUUAACUUAGGAAUUGCAUUCGAUACUGGGAAGCUAGAGUAUGGGAGAGGAUGGUAGAAUUCCAGGUGUAGCGGUGAAAUGCGUAGAGAUCUGGAGGAAUACCGAUGGCGAAGGCAGCCAUCUGGCCUAAUACUGACGCUGAGGUACGAAAGCAUGGGGAGCAAACAGGAUUAGAUACCCCAGUAGUCCCUGUCUCUUAUAC